GCAGUGCUGUCCUUUGGCACCGUCUGAUCCGGGCUGCGGGAUUGAAGGCGGUGGUCGCUAAGCUAGGUCUAAGACGGACAGCCAGGGCGACAACCAGUCUCUCGCUACGUGUCCCCAGCUUCCCUGUUUCCGGGCGCCUCUCAAGGCGCACGCUCUGGACUUGUUCAGAUGGGGGAAGGGAACCGGUCUGGAACUCCCCACUAUUCCCGAGGUUCCCACGCCUCCAGAUCCGGAGAGGCCGUUUCGCUCCAGUGGCCUGGCCCCCCUGCCCCCUCAGCCUAGCCGUUCUUGAUCGUAAGUGCUAAAAGGAACAAAGAAGGAGAACUCAAGAAUCCACACAUAAGCCCAAACCCUGACAGGAGCCUUUUCCUCUCGCAUCUCCCGCCUACGCUGCCUCCUAGUAGCUUUUUAACUGCUGGCGGGCAGGACUCUAAUCUUCUCCACCUUUCUGAUUGUGGGUCUUAAGAACCUCCGCACAGAGAAUCCCACCCUAUACACUGGGGGAAGGAAUGGUGACAUCAUGAAGCUUCCAUAAAACCCCAAGAGGAUGGGUUUUGGAGAGCUGAACCUGUGGAAGCUGACAGGAAGGUGAAGAAGAACUCGCAUGUGCUAGGCGGAUGGCACCGCUCAACUCCUGGGGACAGAAGCUCCUACGCUUGGGACCCUUGCAGACCACACGCUAUAUAUUUCUUAAUCUGGCUGUUUACUUGUAUUCUUUAAAAUAUCCUUCUUAAUAAACCGGUAAGUGUGUUUCUGA